AACGAACGCUGGCGGCAGGCUUAACACAUGCAAGUCGAGCGCCCCGCCAGGGGAGCGGCGGGCUGGUGAGUAACGCGUGGGAACGUACCUUUUUGUUCAGAACAACUCCGGGAAACUGGUGCUAAUACCGGAUAAGCCCUAACGGCGGAAGGGUUAUCGCCGAAAGAUCGGGCCGCGUCUGAUUAGCUGGUUGGUGGGGUAACGCCUCAGCAAGGCGACGAGCAGUGGCUGGUCUGAGAGGAGGAUCAGCCACACUGGGGCUGAGACCCGGCCCAGACUGCUACGGGAGGGAGGAGUGGAGAAUAUUGGACAAGGGGCGCAAGUCUGACACAGCCAUGCCGCGGGAGUGAUGAAGGCCUUAGGGUUGUAAAGCUCUUUUGUCCGGGAAGAUAAUGACUGUACCGGAAGAAUAAGCCCCGGCUAACUUCGUG
rnacentral:rRNA from 1 species